rnacentral:lncRNA from 1 species
AGGGCUCUUUCCUGGACUGCGGCUGCAGCCUUCUCUUCCCGGAGGGCUCAGAGUUCGUCCCCUUUUCGCGAUUGGGAACGUGGACACGCCGGAGCCUGGAUGCAGAAGGGCGCGCGGGAACAGGGAGCUGGUGCGCGAGCCGCAGCCCAGCGUCCAGGCCGCCCCACUCUCUGCUGAUCCAAAGGACUAGGGAAACCCUGCGCGCCGACGGUGGCCUGGACGUUGGCGCGGGCCCUGGCGCUAAAAAACGGAUCCCAUUUCCAGAAAGGCGGGCCGGGUAUCCCGCUCCUGCCUCCUGGAGAAUUAGCUCGGCGGAGGUCGACCAGCCGGGUAGGGAGGGAGGGAUGGAGGGACAGGCCUAGGGUCGACCAGCCGGAUAGGGAGUAGCUUCUGGGAGCUCCCUUGCCUACGGAGGGCCGGUGAGGCUGCCCUCAGAGCGCCGCCAGUUAGCUGCAGCUGAGCCAGAAGCGUCCCCACUGGCUUACCCGAUAGUGGGAUUUUACACGGUGUCGGCUAAGGGUGGCUUUGUGAGAAGACCAUUUCAGAAGAAGAAACGGGGCUCUGGCUGGUGGGGUAGAAACCCCUAUGGAAUGAAAAGUACUCCCAGUCUCUUUGAGGAAGAUUGCAAAGGCCUUUCUGCGGAUCUUUCCCUAGAAACCCCGCUGGGCUCCGGCUCUGAACAGCACCGGAGGACUGCAACGCCCACCCAGGCCCUGCUGCGGGUCUCCGGUGGCCUCAGCUCCUGUCGGGUAACCUCCCUAGGCCUCCCGGAACGCUCACCGGAGCUCGAGCCUUUGGACGUUCAGGGGGCUCCAACUUUAUGUGGGGAUCCCCGGACCGCCAGUGCCUGCCUCCCCACCCCCCACCCUCAUCCCUUUGUUCGCCUCUCCGGACACCGAGUUGAAGGCAGGAAAAAAAAAUAAUUAGAUGGAAAUCAAAGAUUAGACGGGGUGCGCUGGCCGCCAGGGCGAAGCCAGCCCAACACUCCGCCGGCGCCUCAUAAAUCUUUUUCGCAGGCCUGACAAAAGCCACGUCCUCCAGUUCCCUGGGAAUCUAGAAACUUAUCGAUCUCCUCGACGUCCCCCAGACACCCCUCUUUGGGAUCGAGGACGGAGAGUCCUUGGUGACCCCCCCCCCCACUUAUGUCCAGCCCAGGACGUCCCAGCCCAAUCCCGGAGUUAAUUAAUUUUCAGAAGUGGAAGAAGGUGUCAGAGGGAGAGAUACCGACCUGGGCCCAACCCCCUCCCAGGAAGGGCAGCAAAUAUCCAAAACCCGUUUGUAAAACCAAAGAAAUGUUAGGGUGCCACGUUUCCCUUGCUCCAGCUGCCUGGAAGGAUGUAUUCUGAGAAGGGUGAGGGGCAGCUUAACCCCUCCUUGGCGACUCCUUUGUCUGGUCCAGCCAUUUCUGGAACCAGCGGGGCGCCUGGGACUGGGGUGUAGAAGCCAGGCUCCCAGGCGCUGGUCCCGCAGGUGUGACGCACGCUGCUGUUGUGGGUCCGAGCCACGGGUGUGUGCGGUCCACGUGCGAUCCACCCGGGAUUGCACCCGAGAGCCCUCCGCCGGAACAGUUGAGCACUUGCGGAGUCGUGGUGCUUUUAGAGUUUUUAAAAACUUGAAUUAAUUGGGGGAGUAGAGUGCUUUCCGACGCGAAUGGAGGUGUCUUAAAAAUUAUAUCCCAUUGUUGAACCAGUUGUUUCCGAUCUUAGGUAUUAAAGAAAUGUUGCCACAUUUAA